rnacentral:rRNA from 1 species
AUUGAACGCUGGCGGCAGGCCUAACACAUGCAAGUCGAGCGGAGCGGCGGACGGGUGAGUACUGCCUAGGAAUCUGCCUGGUAGUGGGGGAUACCGUCCGGAAACGGGCGCUAAUACCGCAUACUAUCAGAUGAGCCUCGGUCGUAUUAGCUUGUUGGUGGGGUAAAGGCCUACCAAGGCGACGAUCCGUAACUGGGCUGAGAGGAGGAUCAGUCACACUGGAACUGAGACACGGUCCAGACUCAUACGGGAGGCAGCAGUGGGGAAGAUUGGACAAUGGGCGAAAGCCUGAUCCAGCCAUGCCGCGUGUGUGAAGAAGGUCUUCGGAUUGUAAAGCACUUUAAGUUGGGAGGCGGUACCAACAGAAUAAGCACCGGCUAACUUCGUGCCAGCAGCCGCGGUAAUAC